rnacentral:rRNA from 1 species
AGCAGUCGCCGCGGUAAUACGUAGGUGGCAAGCGUUGUCCGGAAUUAUUGGGCGUAAAGGGCUCGCAGGCGGUUUCUUAAGUCUGAUGUGAAAGCCCCCGGCUCAACCGGGGAGGGUCAUUGGAAACUGGGAAACUUGAGUGCAGAAGAGGAGAGUGGAAUUCCACGUGUAGCGGUGAAAUGCGUAGAGAUGUGGAGGAACAUCAGUGGCGAAGGCGACUCUCUGGUCUGUAACUGACGCUGAGGAGCGAAAGCGUGGGGAGCGAACAGGAUUAGAUACCCCCGUAGUCCCUGUCUCUUAUAC